rnacentral:misc_RNA from 1 species
AACGCACCUUGCACUCUUUGGUAUUCCGAAGAGUAUGUCUGUUUGAGUGUCAUGAAACUCUCAACCCCCUCAUUUUGUAAUGAAGUGAGUCGUGGGCUUGGAUUAUGGCUGUCUGUCGGCUUCAUUGCCGGCUCAGCUGAAAUACACGAGUAACCCAGUUUGAAAAACUGUCGGCUUGACUCGGCGUAAUAAUUAUUAUCGCUGAGGACGUCUAACCUUCAAAUCGUUAGUGGUGCUUCUAAUGCAAAUCAUUUUAAGAUUUAGACCUCAAAUCAGUCAGGAUUACCCGCUGAACUUAA